rnacentral:tRNA from 1 species
GCCGCUUUAGCUCAGUUGGUAGAGCAACCGCCUUGUAAGCGGUAGGUCGUCAGUCUCGAUUCCGACAAGCGGCACCA